UACGUAGGUGGCAAGCGUUGUCCGGAUUUACUGGGCGUAAAGAGCGCGCAGGCGGUCGUUCAAGUCGCGUGUGAAAGCCCCCGGCUCAACUGGGGAGGGUCACGCGAUACUGAUCGACUGGAAGGCAGGAGAGGGUAGUGGAAUUCCCGGUGUAGUGGUGAAAUGCGUAGAUAUCGGGAGGAACACCAGUGGCGAAGGCGACUACCUGGCCUGUUAUUGACGCUGAGGCGCGAAAGCUAGGGGAGCAAACGGG
rnacentral:rRNA from 1 species